GUGCUCACUCUGGCAGCACACACACUAAAAUUGGAAUGAUACAGAGAUCAGCAUGGUCCCUGCACCAGGAUGAUGUGCAAAUUUGUGAAGGAUUCCAUAUUUUU